rnacentral:misc_RNA from 1 species
UCCGAGUUGACCCCGGCAGUCUCCUACGAGUCCCCACCAUUACGUGCUGGCAACAUAGGACAAGGGUUGCGCUCGUUGCGGGACUUAACCCAACAUCUCACGGCACGAGCUGACGACAGCCAUGCACCACCUGUGCACUGGUCCCGAAGGAGGACCGUAUUUCUACGGCUUUCCAGUGCAUGUCAAGCCCUGGUAAGGUUCUUCGCGUUGCAUCGAAUUAAACCACACGCUCCGCUGCUUGUGCGGGCCCCCGCCUAUUCCUUUGAGUUUUAGCCUUGCGGCCGUACUCCCCAGGCGGGGUGCUUAAUGCGUUAGCUUCGGCACGGACGGAGUCGACACCGCCCACACCUAGCACCCAUCGUUUACGGCGUGGACUAC